rnacentral:rRNA from 1 species
GAACUAUAGAGUUUGAUCCUGGCUCAGAUUGAACGCUGGCGGCAUGCCUUACACAUGCAAGUCGAACGGCAGCAC